ACAUGAAUCCUAUGGCAGGGUAACCUGACAGACCCAAAUUCCAUGAAAAUGAUGUAAAAUUGAAAGAGAAGAGAUGCCAUUGUAAGCGAUGGCAGGGCAGCGCUAUCGCUAUCAUCUCCUUUGCAUAAUCACGUUAGCUACAAAGCCAGUUAGCGUGUUUCACAGCUUCUCCCACCAUGCUGCAACUGUAAGCUUUUUGGAAGGAGAGAGAUCUUUUCCUCCUAUUCAGGAUUUCUCAAUUGCCUCAGCCAUUCCUGCUCCUUGACACAGUACCAGAGAUUGGAGCCAGAAGGUGAAGCAUAAGAGGCGGAUGCUCAGGUGUACGCAAUGCUUUGUCUGGCUUUGGAUCCCACCUACACAUCCCACUGACUCAUCCUCCAGUCCAUGUCACUACUCACCCAUCCUGAGAACAUGACCUGCUCGAUCAGUUCAGGCUGAAGUUUUUUUUAAGUAUACCCUGUUUGACAUCUUCACUCUCCACCCAGCGU